rfam:Picea glauca, whole genome shotgun sequence.
AUGUAAAUGCCUACAACAUAGUGUUAAUGCAUGGGAUCCCAUUAGAACUAUGCAGUUAAGCGUUCUCGGGCUAGAGUAGUGCUGGGAUGGGUGACUGCCUGGGAAGUCCUAGUAUUUUACAUG